AGUUAGCUAUAUAACAUCUGCUGUCAGCUAACAUUUUCAGUGUUAACCAUGUAAGGAGGAAGAGCAACAAGGCACAUCAUGUUUUGCCCUGAAUGUGAACAUCAGGUGGAAAGGUCAUAUAGAUUCUGUCCUAAAUGUGGCUUCAAGUUAUUUCUCUUGACUCAAAAUGAGUCCCAAGAUGUGACCACAUCAGCACAUCAACAGUCAGUCACAGCUGAGGAGACGAAUCGACAGAAUCAAGACCAGAUCAAAAAAGAUGUCAAAGAGACACAAGAAAACAGUCCCCAAACAAAGGGGCAGACGGCCAGUGA